GAUGAACGCUGGCGGUAUGCUUAACACAUGCAAGUCGAACGGUGCCUUAGGGCAUAGUGGCGGACGGGUGAGUAACGCGUGAGAAUCUAACUUGUGGUUCGGGAUAACCACUGGAAACGGUGGCUAAGACCGGAUGUGCCGGGAGGUGAAAGGGAGACCGCCACAAGAGGAGCUCGCGUCUGAUUAGCUAGUUGGUAGUGUAAGGGACUACCAAGGCGACGAUCAGUAGCUGGUCUGAGAGGAUGAUCAGCCACACUGGAACUGAGACACGGUCCAG
rnacentral:rRNA from 1 species